CCUACGGGCGGCAGCAGUGGGGAAUAUUGGGCAAUGGGCGCAAGCCUGACCCAGCAACGCCGCGUGAAGGAAGAAGGCUUUCGGGUUGUACACUUCUUUUGUCAGGGACGAAGCAAGUGACGGUACCUGACGAAUAAGCCACGGCUAACUACGUGCCAGCAGCCGCGGUAAUACGUAGGUGGCAAGCGUUAUCCGGAUUUAUUGGGUGUAAAGGGCGUGUAGGCGGGAAUGCAAGUCAGAUGUGAGAACUAUGGGCGCAACCCAUAGCCUGCAUUUGAAACUGUAUUUCUUGAGUGCUGGAGAGGCAAUCGGAAUUCCGUGUGUAGCGGUGAAAUGCGUAGAUAUACGGAGGAACACCAGUGGCGAAGGCGGAUUGCUGGACAGUAACUGACGCUGAGGCGCGAAAGCGUGGGGAGCAAACAGGAUUAGAUACCCGGGUAGUC
rnacentral:rRNA from 1 species